rnacentral:misc_RNA from 1 species
CAGUUUAUGGCAAAGCACCGUGAAAGAUGUCCUUGUACAACAAUGAUUAAUCAAAGCAUUGAACGAGAAGCAACCAAUGACCAUGAGAGAUGAUGAUUGGAAGGAGCUUCAACAAAGGGCUGUGAGUACGAUUAGAUUGAUAUUAGCCCUAGACGUGAAGUACAAUGUCUUGAAAGAGACCUCGCCUGUUAUUUUGUGGAAGAAAUUAGAGAGCCUGUACAUGUCAAAAUCA